UUGGGUGAAUUAAGAGAUAUCUCAUACAUACAUGAUAGCAAUUCAUACAGAAGCAUUCGGAGAUAACCAAAAUGAAAAUGGAAAGGGAUAUUGGAGUUUUAGGGUUUGUAGAGGGCUAUAAUUACCUGUCUGAUAACAGACCUUGGAAAGCUGGAGUGGCUCAACCUGGGAGGUCUGAGGGUGACACAGAACAUUUAGAGAAGAGUAUGCCGGCUGUGUGCAUAGAGGAUACGUUCUGGGACCAUAUUGAUAUUUGAAAACUAGUUUCAAGUGAUGGACUAUCUGAUCAGAAAGAAAUUCUUAAAGAAAGCCAUCCAUAAAUUCUACCUAAAAGGCAAUUGCUUCUUCCAGAAAUGCUGAACACAAAAAAUGGUUGCCUAGUCUAUUGUCUGAUCAUUAUUUAGGAGUUCCCAUGGACAAAAUUCACACCUGGAAUCCUUCGAAGAUGAUGGCAGUGGUUAGGCUAUUGGACUAGGACUGUGAAAAGACCAGGUCUACCAGCUUGAUUACUUUUGAAGAAAUGCAGAAAAACAACAGUGAUUUUCCUGAGAAUCAGAAGAAAGACAAGAAAAUGUGUGGCAUCCAACAAACACCAUGUGUGCACAUGAAAACUGAGAAUAUUAGAUGCAAUGCUUUGUAGCGGUUCAUAGUGCUCAAAAUUAUUCUAUCACAUUCAUGUUUGGUUGAUUUCUUGCCUGAAUAUAGGAGAUGCUGUUUCCUCUGAGUUUGGCGGCUAUCAUUCUGUUGUUGGAGGAAAUAAUCACAACAUGUCCUCUCACAAAAAGUCUCUAUUGAUGACCAAAGGGAUGUCCUUUGAUGGUUGCUAAGGAGUUUUGUUUAGGCCAACAUGGUUGCAACCAGGAAGCUGCCCCAUAUGCCAAGCCAGAACACUGGUUCAUCUUGCUCAGUGUUGUUGAUGCUGAAUGGCAGUGUGAUUUUAGAGAAUCUAGAGAGGAAUUGAAACUAGGUCCUUUUCCAUGCAAAGCAUGUGCUCUCCAACUGAUAUUUAGACCUUCCCUGAACUGAUACUCUUUAUUUCUUCUAAAUAUAUAACCAUUCCCAGCCUUAGGCAUUUUUAUGUGUGAUUAAAGAGAUAAGGAAAACACCAUUAUUCUACUGGUGGAAGGGUUUUUGUUUAUUUGUUUGUUUUUAAAUAAAUAAAAGAGAUAGAGAUUAGAAGCAAGCAAGUGUGAUCUUCCCAACAAAGUAUCAGUCAAAGUAUUUGUAUUAUUUCAGACAAGUUGGAGCAGAUUCAGAGAAGGGAACAAGGAUGAUAAGAAGUAUGGAAAACUAAGUACAGUCAGCCCUUCUUAUACAUGGAUUACUUAUGCAUGGAUUCAAGCAUCCAUGGUUUGA